UCGCUCUUCAUCCCGCCAACUCCUCCUUCCCUUGGCAUCAGACAGCGAGAGAGAGAGAGCCGAAGGCGUUCGCCGGAGAAGACGGCGAGGUAACCAGCCGUGGUCCACGUUAGCUUCUACAGCAACUGUGAGUCUCUUCUCCCUCCUCUCCUCGUCCUUUAUCCCAGAUCCUGUUCCCUUUCUCGCUAGACUACUCAAUUUGAACUUAUGAAUCGUUGUUAGUAGUAUUCAUUAUUAUAUUGUAUGCAAAGAUCCAUACAAGCACCAUGAUAAUCAGAUCAAGGGUAACAUUAUUAAAUCUUUUUUUCAUUGAAAAUGCAAUUAAUUUUAAGCAAUUAAUUAGCAAAUCAAUCAGCUUAGGAUUGUUAAUUUCUUGUUCAACUGUGUUUAAUUUAAUGGCCUUUGUCAGAUCAAUGGCAACAAUAUGCUGGUUGAUUUGCAUGUGCCGUUGUCAGAUAAGGAACCACGUAAAAUUUGACCCAAGCUAUGCCGAUCAUAGUUUGCCAUACCCAAACCGGACAGUACUGUACCUGUUCGGUACCGGUAUCCGUAUGAAACUCGUACCGACACUUAUUAUGCCGAAAAAAUUUCAAACCAUAUCGUACCGACAUAGUGCUAGUAUGGCACCGGCAUAGUGUCCGAUACCGAGACGGCGAAUCUUGAUGCCAAUAGAAGUAUAAAACCAAAUUCUGCAUCCUCCAACUUUUUUAGUGCUAUGCAAAUCAUUUCUCCCACCGGGGAGCAUCUUUCAUGUGCUUUUGACACGGCAAAAGUCAAAAGAGGGAUUAAGUCUUUUAGCUUUCCCUACUGGGUGUUCGUCAUCCAUGAGGACAUGCACAUCUGACCCUUGUUUUAUUCAAGAUACUGCAGAUCACCCAGAGGCUUCACAUUGCAAAGACUUACAAAACAUGAUCACAGAGGCUUCAAAGCAUGAUCAAGAAAAACUUGUUGAGGUAAAAGUACAAAAAAUUUUCUUAUUGAUUCCUAAUUGAAAGUAAAGAUA
rnacentral:lncRNA from 1 species